CCCCCGACCCGCCGGUUGUUUUGGCUCCGGAAGCCCGUGCCCUCCUCCGAAAAUGCUGUCGGCCCGGUCCCCUCAGCAGGGAGUGUGGUCCGGGAAGCCCCGCUGCCCGCUGACAGUGGUAGUGGAGGAGACAGUAACCUCCAGGACAGGGAGGCUGUCUGUCUGCCUGGACCUCCUGUCAGACUCUAGAGUUUUCCCUGGGAAAUGAUCCGGGUGUUUUGAUUAAUUGUUGUAAAAUUAGUGGUGAAUUGUUUAUAUAAACGUUUUAAUAAAAAUAAAUAAGACUCCCAUUUAUCCUUUUUUCUGUAGUUAUAUUGUCUAAAAUUGUGGAGGAUAUUUAAAGCUUAAAAUGAAGUGUUUUUAGAAUCUUUAAAUGUAUUCUUUUUAUGUCUUUUUGUUUUGUUUGAUUUACAAAGUAAACACUACGUUAACAACCAUACAUUAAAUUGCAACAUUCCAUAAUACAUAAAAGUCUCAAAGAGGCACUUCACUAGAACUUACUAGAAUUUACUCACUAACUUUUGUUUUAAUGAUGGCAGCUAAAGAAGCCUUUAAGUUCCUCAAGUUAAUGACUAUUUUGUAAUGCAAUUUGCACUUUUAUUUACUACAAAGACAUGUUGGAACAAUUUAUUUUAUUUUAUAAGAACAGUAAAUGUUUAAAAGUUUAAGUAUUAUUAAAGAGUUUAUUUAAAUACAAACACUGGGUUUUUUUCUUUCAUAAUGUCGAUAAUCGUGAAUAAUCGUAAAAUCGCAAUAUUUCCUUCCACAAUAAUCGUGGCUCAAAAAAUUGAAAUCGUGACAACCCUAGUCCUGAUAUUGAUCAGGAAGUAUUGAUCAGAAUACUUAUGGUUAGCAGUCAUCCCUGAAGUUUUACAUUAAAAUUUUUACUUGUGUUGUGGACUUUGGUAAGAAGCAGAAACGGUAGCGUUGCCAUGGAUACAUGAGUGUUAAAUUCUGUCCAUGUUUCCAUUUUGGGAAAUUCAGUCCAGUUCCAGAAUGUGGAGGAAUUUAGUCUCAAUCACACUCAACAAAUAUUAUCUGAAAGUCGGGUUAUUGUUGUUUAUUAGCACAAUACAAAAAGAUUAAUGUUAUAAAUAUUCCAGUUAAGACUCUAGAAUAUCAUGAUUUAUGUAAAUUUACCUCAAUAAUAGGAAUGUUCAGGUUAAGAUUGUGCAGUGAUAUUUAUUAUGUAAGUUUAGCUGAUUAAAGUUUAUGACUCUGCACUAAAACAUUAUUUAAAUUAACAUCAUUAUUAUAAUAUUUAGGGUCAGACCCUACAGUAUUGAGAUUAAGAAAUCAAAUAUUCUAUAAAAUGUAAAUACACUGAACUCAUUUGGAUAUAUUUAAGUGAGACUCUACAAUAUUAUUUGACACAAAUCUAUCUAAAUCAAAAUUUUAAUAAUUUUCAUGCCAAACAUUUACUGGACUGAUUUAAAUAUUAAAAUCACUCCUUUCUAAUCCUCUGCUGUACAUUCAAACCUGAGGCCUUAAAUAGAAACACAAGUAUCUGAUUGAAGGAACUUCUGCAGAGUCCUGGUUCCAGAACAUGAUGAUAGAAUUAUAGACAAACUUUAACAAAAGCUGCCUGAGAGUUUACAGGUUUUUAUGUUGGAUUUCUUCAGUAAUUUAAUGAGUUAUCAGCAAAAAUCAAGUGUUCAUUUGAUGAACUUCAUUUCCUAAAACAUCCAGAAUUGGAGCUCAUAUCUUUGGCAGCUGUAAAGUUUCUGCUCCUUCAAAGUUCACAACACAAUGGAUGAAUUCCUAAAAAACUCUCAAUGCUGGAGAGCGUUUGUGAUGCUGAAGCAGUGAUCAGUUUUUCUGUUUCUUCUCUGGAGAUGCACAAUGAGGGACGUCUGCAGAGACUGAGAAAGAGUCUCACCACAUCCUUACAUGAGGAAAAAGACUUUAUUGAAGACUACAAUGAGAAAAACUAUCAGACAGCUGCAUUCAAGUCUGUAGCUGCUGAAUUCAUGGAUGAAUCAUCUGGCACUAGAGAGGAAGACCAUCAAACAUCCACGUCAGCUGAUGGAGGUCCAAGAGUCUCACCAAACAAACAACCUACAGAGUGAAGACCUCGAAUCUGAUUGGACGGCCUCCUAUUCAGCCACGUGUCAACAAAUGCCUCGAAGUUGAUUUGUUUUCUAAAAUAAAUCUAGUUUGAGUCCUAA